rnacentral:lncRNA from 1 species
CAAGCUGCGCAUAUCUUGGGAUCUUCACAGCACAGUGGCUGGGAAGGCAGGCGGACCCGUCUAUCAGCUUCUCCCUGAAGACUACCAAAGCAAACCAGAGGACCAGAGAACAGCAGCUGCUCUGGACAAAGAGGGGAGGACACCCACACCCACAUACCAAGUUCUGGUUGACUUCUACAGCAGAAGAAGCAGGAGACACAAGAAGUCUCCUCAGAAGAACAUUGACCAGCACGCCUGCAUCCUUUCUGUUCUGACACACUUGUUACCUGGAUGACUUCUUUCUCAUCACCCACGUGCCAAGAGUGCCAUGUCUCAUCUGGACCAGAGACUCUGAGGAUCACACCAACAGAGACACAAAUGACACUUAAAGAAAGCCACAUCAGCUUUUACAACUUACCCCCCAAUACCGAAUG